UACGGGGGGGGCAAGCGUUGUUCGGAAUUACUGGGCGUAAAGGGCGCGUAGGCGGCACUGUUAGUCAGGCGUGAAAGUCCUGGGCUCAACCUGGGAACUGCGCUUGAUACGGCAGAGCUAGAGGAUGGAAGAGGCUCGCGGAAUUCCCAGUGUAGAGGUGAAAUUCGUAGAUAUUGGGAAGAACACCGGUGGCGAAGGCGGCGAGCUGGUCCAUUACUGACGCUGAGGCGCGACAGCGUGGGGAGCAAACAGG
rnacentral:rRNA from 1 species